CCUACGGGUGGCUGCAGUGGGGAAUAUUGGACAAUGGGCGCAAGCCUGAUCCAGCAAUGCCGCGUGUGUGAAGAAGGCCUUCGGGUUGUAAAGCACUUUUAUCAGGAGCGAAAUGCCAUGGGCUAAUACCCCGUGGAGCUGACGGUACCUGAGGAAUAAGCACCGGCUAACUUCGUGCCAGCAGCCGCGGUAAUACGAAGGGUGCAAGCGUUGAUCGGAAUGACUGGGCGUAAAGGUUGCGUAGGCGGUUGAAAUCCCCGGGCUCAACCUGGGAAUGGCGGUGGAUACUGGAUAGCUAGAGUGUGUCAGAGGAUGGUGGAAUUCCCGGUGUAGCGGUGAAAUGCGUAGAGAUCGGGAGGAACAUCAGUGGCGAAGGCGGCCAUCUGGGACAACACUGACGCUGAAGCACGAAAGCGUGGGGAGCAAACAGGAUUAGAUACCCUAGUAGUC
rnacentral:rRNA from 1 species